CAAAACGUCAGACUUUGUUAAUAUACCUUAUAUUGUGCCUGCAAUUGAGAUAAUCGUUGCUGCCUUAUUGCUUCGAGUUCUGGAUCAGCCAUUUUUUCACAAUAUCAAGUUUAUAUUGUAUAAUUUGUACGUGAAUUUGUACAAUUCAACGUGUUUUUUCAAAAUAUGCUUAUACCGCAAUAGUGCUGAACGCAACCUUCAAUAUGUAACACCAAUUUAAGUCUCGCAGCAAGCAGUGUGAAGUUAGUGGCAUAUACAUAUAUCGAAUGAAUUUAUGUAAAUACUUAUUUAGUCAGUACUUACUUUAGACACGCUGUACUGUAGUAUUUACGUAUCGCAAUAUCGAUGUGUAAAUAAUAGGCGAAAUUUAAAUUCAUACUUCAAUAUAUUUAUAUUUAAAAUGUAUAACAAUAUACUGUUUAAGUAUUUGAUUGCAAAUAAUCGAGUAAAGAAAAAGUUAAAAUUCAAGAAAUUAGAAGUACUUUGUGUAGAAAAUACUAAAUUUGUUGGUACAAACUAUAUCGAAUUAGUAAUUUUAUUUAAAUUAUAUAUAGUCUUUUAGAGAUGUUAUUUUUUUAUAAUAUUUGGUAUUAUGACUAGCACUAUCAAAGGUUUAAGGGUGGAUUGAAAUCUAAAAAACAUUCAUUGAUUGAUUGAUAAAAUUUGAUGUAGGAUUGGAUCAUAGUGAUCUCUAAACUAUAGGUAUUAAACUGCUAAAUAAGUAAGAAUGUGUGGUAAUUAAUAUUCGAGAAAUGCCAGACAAUUUAAAACAAAUAUGCAUGAUUAUAAACAAAAAUUUAUAUUUCGGUCAAUUCUGAUCUAAAGUUCAUAAAAUUUUUAUAUAAUAUUAAAAACAUGUUAGACUUUCUUUAUUACUAACAAAAUCAAAAAGGAACUAUUUGCAAAUGCAUGAAGGAGCAAUAAUUGUUCCUUGGCACUCAAAGAGCUAAAUGUUGUACUUAAGUAUAUUUGUUUGGAAGAAAUAAUUAUGAAUUAAUAUAUAUUUGCUAUAUGCUUCAUGUUUACACAAAAAUUAUAUUGCUUUGCACCAGUACGUAAAGCCUAUUUUCAGUUAAAGCAACUAAGGAACAUGAAUAAUGCAGUUUACCGCUUUAAAUAGUGUUUGUACUGUCAUACCAUGGCGGCAUCCAAUUACUCGUAGCUCUACUUCUUCCUUUAGAAUGGUGUCUUUACCAAAACUAGGAGAAUAUGGUCUGAUAACAUCCGUGGGAAGUGCACGAUCAGGUGAAGGAUUAUGAAUCCUUCCGGAAGACUGAAGUGAAGGUGAUCGCUUGCGUCGAAAGCCUUGAGGUUCAUCAUCAACAUUGCAGACAUGAAGUCGACCUUCGACUGCCCGACGGUGGUUUUCCACAUACACUGUCCUCAUGGAUUCGGGUAUUCAAUAUCUGAAAAGCGUUCUGAUUCUGGACAGCAUUCGCACAAUCGAACUGAUCCACGUUAUUAUUUAUCCAGUGGUUUUCUUUUCGUCUGGAAGCACUUAAACUAUGAUCUCGUCUACGAUGCAUUUUUUGAUUGGCGCACUGACUUUCGCGUUUCGUGCAAUAAGCCAUCCUGUAUUCUGGCUCAAGGUCGAGAUUUCCUUCCAAACGUAAAGUGGAUGGCAUCCGCAAGGGUUCCACCUUUGGUAUGCGACCAUAGGGAACGUAUUGAGAUCUCACCUCACUGGGUGGUCCCUUUGGUAAUCUAAGUAUUUCGAUUUGUAUUCCGGAUCUUGGUCAAUCUUCGUGGAAAACUUGCUGGUAGGCGACGAAGGAACUUUAGAACCAUCAGCCCGCCCGAUCUCAUCCUCGGGUUUCACAAUUUUGGGACGUUCCCUUGGAAAAUUCUGUAAUAAAACAAUUUUCUUUUAAAAAUGUAUAGUAACGCAAUGAGGAUUGCAUUUCAGGGAGUACACCCGAAUAUUUCUGUAAUUUAUCUUGUACAAAAAAACCUCACGGGAUAAGUUUAUAAAUUGUUUACAUUACUUCUUGAUUGUUCUAGUUCUAUAGUGUAUCUCUGCGAAUUGAGAACACCGAAUUUUCUUAAAAAAUAUGAGUGACAUAAAGAAAUAUCUCAGACAAAAGCUAUAAGGAUAUGUAAUAAAAAAUAUAAGGUUCUAUUUAAGAGACGUAACGUGAUAUUUUCAGGGUAGUCCAAGGUCAUCUUAAGAUCAAAUAAAGAAACACAUGAUAUGUAGCACUUAAUGCUCUAUAUAAGUCUAUAACUCAUAUUUUUUUAAACAAUUCUUAGUUCUUAAAAACACACUGUAUAUGAUUAGUAACAAUGGGAAUGUGUUACAUAAUCACGUCACGUGAAAUAUCCUGUAUAAUUGAAUUGAAGAAGUAUUUACCUUAUACGCGUCUUUAUAUUCAGGAACUUCGAGCGGUGGACCUUUGAGGUCUUCCAACUUUGAGACCAACAUCUGCAUCUCUUCUUCUGUUUUUUUCUCCUUUUGCACCUUUCGUUCCCUUUCCUCCCUUUCGAUGUCUUUAUUCAAUUCGCUCAUUAAUUGUGCUUCUCUUACACGGGGAUUAAUGAAGUUGUCAGUGUUUUCUGUGUUUUGGAAGAAAUCUUUUCCUGUCCUUAGGUGCGUUUCCGGUUUCACUGGUUGCCGCCUUUCUACAAUACAGAAUAAUCAAAUGAAACUUUAUACAUUUUUAAUAUUCUACUUGUGAUAUUUGAAGCUCGUUCUCUUUUAACGCGCAACGUUAUAUAAGUUGUUCUUUGAUUUUAUUCUAACAUAUUCAUGCAUGUUUAUUGUUUAUUAUAUUUUAAAUGACAAAGCAUCCAGGAAAUGAUACAAUAAGAUAAUGAUUCUUUCAAAAAUCUCAGGUGUUAGCUUUUAUAGUCAGAUUUCAGUGUUUUCUUCAAAUACGAAACACAAUUGAACACAUUUAAAGGAAUAUUUUACUUUAUUAAUUAGUAAUAUAUUACUAAAACUACCAGACCAGUCAAAAUGACCUACCUAAAAAUUCUUAUUUCACAAUUAUCAGAAUUGUGAAGACGUUUUUGUGAAAAAUUAUAAAGCAGAUCUGUGUAUUUGUAUGAAUACAAUCAGUACUAGGCGCUUCAAAUGUUGAGGAAUACACUUUUUUAAUUUUUGUAAGACAUUAUAGAAAAAUACUGUAAUUGUUCUAAUGUUAAUUAAAGGAAUCUUUCUUAAACAGUCUAAAUUUCUGAAAGUUUGAAAAUCCAAUUUUGUUUUGUUUCAAAAUACUUUUGUUCUAUUUGUGAGAAAUGCUGAAGUUCAAUUAAACAUACCUAUCGUUUAUUUUGUACGAACUAGUUUCAACAAAUUUUUUCUAAAAGUUGCAUUCAUACUGUUUAAGUGAAAAAUAACUGGAACGUCACCUCUAUGUUGGUGUCUUUUGAAAACGUCAGCAUACUCCGGCAUAAAAUUAGAUUCACCUUCCAAUUUCAAAUUCGUAUGCCGCCUUAGCAGUUCUGGUCUACGCACGCCCACGAAUGGCACGUAUUUCUCAUGAUUUUCAGUCGUCGUUUCAAGUUCACCCUCAAGUUUUAAGUGCGUGGGAAUCCGCAUAAGUUCUGGUCGGCUGACGUUCAGCCACUGUAUGAAUUUUUCGCAUUUUUCGGUGGUCGUCUGCAAAUCGCCCUCCAUUUUUAGCGAUGUUGGUCUUCGAGCCAAUUCCGGUCUGUGUUGACCUUCGUAGGGCACGUACGAGGAAUACAUUUCCGUGUCCGUGUAAAAUUGUCCAUCCCUCUUCAAAGUAGUACCUCUUUCAUUGAAUUAAGAAAAAAUAAUCAGAAAUUGAGUAGAAUUUAAGAACGUUUGAGUAAUUUAUUUUGAAAGCGAUUUAAGUCCAUUUUUAAAAAAAAUUUAA